rnacentral:rRNA from 1 species
UUCCAGACUCCUACGGGAGGCAGCAGUGGGGGAUAUUGCACAAUGGGGGGAACCCUGAUGCAGCGACGCCGCGUGGGUGAAGAAGUAUUUCGUUAUGUAAAGCUCUAUCAGCAGGGAAGAAAAUGACGGUACCUGAGUAAGAAGCCCCGGCUAACUACGUGCCAGCAGCCGCGGUAAUACGUAGGGGGCAAGCGUUAUCCGGAUUUAUUGGGUGUAAAGGGGGCGCAGACGGCGAUGCAAGCCAGGAGUGAAAGCCCGGGGCCCAACCCCGGGACUGCUCUUGGAACUGCGUGGCUGGAGUGCAGGAGGGGCAGGCGGAAUUCCUGGUGUAGCGGUGAAAUGCGUAGAUAUCAGGAGGAACACCGGUGGCGAAGGCGGCCUGCUGGACUGCAACUGACGUUGAGGCCCGAAAGCGUGGGGAGCAAACAGGAUUAGAUACCCGGGUAGC